rnacentral:tRNA from 1 species
GCGCCUGUAGCUCAAUAGGAUAGAGCAACGGACUUCUAAUCCGUAGGUUGGGGGUUCGAUUCCUCCCGGGCGCG